AGAGCAAUGGCAUCGCAGGAGCCAGCGUCUCAGGCUUGUGGGCUCUGAGCGUGGGGACGAGACAGUUAAAGCCUCCCUGUGUGAGCCGCCCCAUCACGCAGCGCCGGCGCCAGGUCAGCAGUCUGGCUGGAGCUCAGACGUGGCUGGUUGUGCCAGGCAGUGCCAAGCACCCAGGCAACCCUGAAGAGGUCCCCCAAAUCCAGGUUUCGUUCUGCAGCCCCGAGGAUGCUGUCAUGACUGCCUCACGAGAGGAAACGAGGUGCUGCGCUGGUGCUUCCUAGACAAGCCACGCAGAAGCAGGGCACUCUCCCGGCUGGAAGCCCGCUGAUGCAGUGACAAAGGGGACCUGGGCUCAGACCCUGCUCAGGCCCAGGUUCCUGUGGUAAAGUGAGGUGAGCUCAUGUGAAGAAGAUGGACCUGGUGAGAAGCAAAUCCAAACCCACGCUUAACACCCAGACCCACUCUCCGCCCCGAAGGAAUGCUGAGUAACAGAAGCACCUUUUUGAAAAUGCCAUCGGUUUCCUAAAAGCACAUAAGGAGGACACAUUUCCAGGUACCAGAGAAGAAGGCGAAACUGAAAGAUGGAGCACCCAGCAGGGGUUGAGACCAAGAACCUUAUGGGCUAUUGGAACCAGAAAUACAUCUUAGGGGACGAGAAGCAAGCCGCUGCCUGGGGACAUUCAGGGAGCAGCAGAUGCUGUGAGCAGGGAGCGCUGGACGGGACCAGCUCUGCAGAGCCAGGAGCGGGCCUGGGGCAUCAUCUCUGUGUACAGAUGAGCAGUGCCCAGCCUGUUGGACCAGGAGGCGCAGCAUGAAAGCCUCUGCCCACUCUGGCGCCCAAGCGUGCCUGGCGUGUGGGGCUUCAGGUCACACUGUCUAUGCUGUUUGGAAAUUUUGAGAGGGAAUUGAUUGCACCAUCUAGGUCCCCAGCCCAGGGAGAAGAUCAUUUCCCAGGGAGAGGUGCCUGUACAACUGGGGGGUGUUUCUGGGACCCCAGAGAAGGACAGUUUCUGAGGAAGACAGGCUCAUGCACCUGUGGAAACUCCCAUCACAAGGAUCGACGGACUCAAGUUCCAUCUGAGGAGCUUCUGAAAAGGGAGAAAUGAAAAUGUACCGUUGGUCAUUCAAAACACAUUUUUAAAGGGAAAAAAGGAACAUAGCUCAAAUUUCCACAAUAAGACUUAAAAAAAAGGAUAAUCACAAAAUGAGCAAUAGAGCCCCUGGCAUAGAGUGAGUGGGUUGUACUAGGUCUCCUGGUCUCUGCCAGCCUUCUUCCCCAGUGUUACAUCCUAGGAACGGGGACAGGUCUCACUUGACCUUCAACCUCAGUGGACUUGCAUAGUUCCUGUGCUGUGUAGGCAUGUACUAUACAUGCACCUGCUGAAUGGAGAGAUUGUCGAUGUGAGUGUCCAUCAUGAGCUGUGACUUCCAGGGUGUUUAGCUAUGGACUGCGGCCGCCCCCAGUCCCUUCCACUCCAGCCAGGCCUGGGGGACCUAGCUGAGUCCACAAGGGAUCAGUGUGCAUUGCUGGAGAGGAGACCCCAGGAGGGAAAUAGCACCUCAUUCUGGGUCCAACAUUCUGCAGUGCAAGAGACCAAGUGUGUGCUGUGGAUCUCAUCACGGUGCUGGUGGAAGCCCAGAAGGUCUCCCUGGGCUGGCUGAAGUGUGCAAACUCCCCUCAGCAGCUUUCCUGUCCAUCGGCUGCUCUCACGCCAUUUAUUGUGUUCUCUGGUCCUGUGCUAAUGAGGAUCUUUGAGAAAUGACUGAUACGGUAAUGAUCUACGGAACUUACUGUAGAUAGCAAUUAAAUAUGGUUAACAGCCAGGUUACGCUGACACAUUAAAAGGCCCACAGGCUGCAAUUUA